rnacentral:tRNA from 1 species
CCUCUGGUAGCUCAGUUGGUAGAGCGGUGGACUGUAGAUCCAUAGGUCGCUGGUUCAAAUCCGGCCCGGANNN